UGAACCAGUCACCACUGAGUUAAGUUACAGGCCUUUGUCAUGAAACUGCAACCAGUAUGUCAGGUUCAGCUUUAGAGAUCACCAGGGAUCACGUUGGACUAAUGAGUAAUCACAGGCUGAUGAUCAACUCCACCCCAUCAGGAGUCUGCGACUCACAGAAGGAGCCUGGACCGGUUUCACAUGAGCUGCUGGAAACACGGUUUCUGGAAGGAAGGACUAAAACAGAGAUAUUAUUAGAACAUUUCCAGUGGAAAGAGCUCAGUAUGAAAAAAAACAGUGGUUUACAGACAACAGCCUCUGAAAACCACAGGCAGAAAAUGAUAACUAUGAAGUAGUCUGUCUGAUCUCUGCUGUGUAACAGAUCAUGACCCCAUUGGUUUCUCCUUAUGACAUGUAAUAAUAUUACAUAAUGUGUGGAAAAAUAAUCUGACGCAAACUAAUCUCAUAUUAUUCUGAUAGUCUGUUAUUGUAUCAUGAAUCAGAUGAAAUAUUAAACUGGAAGUUAUUAAUUUCAA